GCUGCAUUAGCUCAGGACUAGAGCACCCGACGCAUUGCCGGACAUACAUUGGUUCAAAUCCAUUAUGCAGCACCA
rnacentral:tRNA from 1 species